GGUGAAGAACGUAGCGAAAUGCGAUACUUGGUGUGAAUUGCAGAAUCCCGUGAACCAUCGAGUCUUUGAACGCAAGUUGCGCCCGAAGCCAUCAGGUUGAGGGCACGUCUGCCUGGGCGUCACAUAUCGUUGCUCGAUGCCUAUCGCAUUGCGAUAGGACUUAGGGCGAAUGAUGGCUUCCCGUGAGCGUUGUUGCCUCGCGGUUGGUUGAAAAUCGAGUCCUUGGUAGGGUGUGCCAUGAUAGAUGGUGGUCGAGUUAGCACGAGACUGAUCAUGUGCAUGCUCCCCAAAAUAUGGCCUCUGUGACCCACACGCGUCUUUUGACGCUCAUGAUGAGACCUCAGGUCAGGCGGGGCUACCCGCUGAAUUUAAGCAUAUCAAUAAGCGGAGGA
rnacentral:misc_RNA from 1 species